GAUGAACGCUGGCGGCGUGCCUAAUACAUGCGAGUCGAGCGAACAGACGAGGAGCUUGCUCCUCUGACGUUAGCGGCGGACGGGUGAGUAACACGUGGAUAACCUACCUAUAAGACUGGGAUAACUUCGGGAAACCGGAGCUAAUACCGGAUAAUAUAUUGAACCGCAUGGUUCAAUAGUGAAAGACGGUCUUGCUGUCACUUAUAGAUGGAUCCGCGCCGCAUUAGCUAGUUGGUAAGGUAACGGCUUACCAAGGCAACGAUGCGUAGCCGACCUGAGAGGGUGAUCGGCCACACUGGAACUGAGACACGGUCCAGACUCCUACGGGAGGCAGCAGUAGGGAAUCUUCCGCAAUGGGCGAAAGCUUGACGGAGCAACGCCGCGUGAGUGAUGAAGGUCUUCGGAUCGUAAAACUCUGUUAUUAGGGAAGAACAAAUGUGUAAGUAACUAUGCACGUCUUGACGGUACCUAAUCAGAAAGCCACGGCUAACUACGUG
rnacentral:rRNA from 1 species